UCCCCGCCUUUUGUUUAUCUCACAAGGCAGAGGUUGCUUCCUUCUCGCUGCUUGUUGCCCCUUACACCGCCCACCCCCCUUCUCCCCUACUGCCCCAACACCGCCCACCCGCGUUUCUCCUCAACUUCCCCAACACCACCCAUCGCGUUUCUCCACCAACACGACCCACCUGCAAAGCACCACCGUGUCGUGGCUUGCAUAUCUCCUCGACACGCGUUUGUCCCCUGAUGCGCGACUGGAGCCGUGUCUCUUACUGCUGGAAGCCGUCCGUGUUUCUCCGACUAGCUUACUGCUGGAAGCCUCCCCGCAACCGCCUCAUCUCCUCUCCUCUACUGCGCGCAGUGCCGCCGUCGAUUGACUCCUCUCGCUGGCCACCACUAGGGCGUAUUAAAGCUUGCAGAAAGGCUACCUUAGUGAGUAUAAGCUUGUAAAGGGAGUUCAAGUUACAGAUGAGUUGAAUUGGCAAAUGCGGAACUGUCUCGAGAGGAUUUACUUGAACAUUACGUUCUGGAUGGAUUUCCUGGUGCUGUUGGGAUCAUGGGAAAGGAUCCCCGUGCUAAUCGCCAGGCUGCCAGGAUUAGAGUAUUAGACUGAAAGAAGACGAUGCAGAAUCUGUUGCACAGGAAGAACAUAAACAUGACCAGUUAAACCGCUGUAAGAGAUUCUACUAUGUCAACUGAAGGAAUUCAUGAACAAACGAAUGGAGCGUUCCUUCACGACUGAUGAAAUAAAAUGUGUUCGAGACAAGUUGGCAUGAUUUAUUACUAAUGAAUGUCUUUGAUUGUUCACGUUUUUAGCAUUAUAAUGAAUCUAAUACUGUAGUUAGCAACCUUUUUCCAAUAAUCAAUUUAGAUACAAUAUGUUUUAACC